rnacentral:rRNA from 1 species
UAUCCUGUCUGAAUAUGGGGGGACCAUCCUCCAAGGCUAAAUACUCCUGACUGACCGAUAGUGAACCAGUACCGUGAGGGAAAGGCGAAAAGAACCCCGGCGAGGGGAGUGAAAAAGAACCUGAAACCGUGUACGUACAAGCAGUGGGAGCACCCUUUGGGGUGUGACUGCGUACCUUUUGUAUAAUGGGUCAGCGACUUAUAUUCUGUAGCAAGGUUAACCGAAUAGGGGAGCCGGAGGGAAACCGAGUCUUAAUUGGGCGUUAAGUUGCAGGGUAUAGACCCGAAACCCGGUGAUCUAGCCAUGGGCAGGUUGAAGGUUGGGUAACACUAACUGGAGGACCGAACCGACUAAUGUUGAAAAAUUAGCGGAUGACCUGUGGCUGGGGGUGAAAGGCCAAUCAAACCGGGAGAUAGCUGGUUCUCCCCGAAAGCUAUUUAGGUAGCGCCUCGUGAAUUCAUCUCCGGGGGUAGAGCACUGUUUCGGCUAGGGGGCCAUCCCGGCUUACCAACCCGAUGCAAACUGCGAAUACCGGAGAAUGUUAUCACGGGAGACACACGGCGGGUGCUAACGUCCGUCGUGAAGAGGGAAACAACCCAGACCGCCAGCUAAGGUCCCAAAGUCAUGGUUAAGUGGGAAACGAUGUGGGAAGGCCCAGACAGCCAGGAUGUUGGCUUAGAAGCAGCCAUCAUUUAAAGAAAGCGUAAUAGCUCACUGGUCGAGUCGGCCUGCGCGGAAGAUGUAACGGGGCUAAACCAUGCACCGAAGCUGCGGCAGCGACGCUGAUGCGUUGUUGGGUAGGGGAGCGUUCUGUAAGCCUGCGAAGGUGGCCUGUGAGGGUUGCUGGAGGUAUCAGAAGUGCGAAUGCUGACAUAAGUAACGAUAAAGCGGGUGAAAAGCCCGCUCGCCGGAAGACCAAGGGUUCCUGUCCAACGUUAAUCGGGGCAGGGUGAGUCGACCCCUAAGGCGAGGCCGAAAGGCGUAGUCGAUGGGAAACGGGUUAAUAUUCCCGUACUUGGUGUUACUGCGAAGGGGGGACGGAGAAGGCUAUGUUGGCCGGGCGACGGUUGUCCCGGUUUAAGCGUGUAGGUGUGUGUUCCAGGUAAAUCCGGUUCACUUUAACACUGAGGCGUGAUGACGAGGCACUACGGUGCUGAAGCAACAAAUGCCCUGCUUCCAGGAAAAGCCUCUAAGCAUCAGGUAACAUCAAAUCGUACCCCAAACCGACACAGGUGGUCAGGUAGAGAAUACCAAGGCGCUUGAGAGAACUCGGGUGAAGGAACUAGGCAAAAUGGUGCCGUAACUUCGGGAGAAGGCACGCUGACACGUAGGUGAAGUGAUUUACUCAUGGAGCUGAAGUCAGUCGAAGAUACCAGCUGGCUGCAACUGUUUAUUAAAAACACAGCACUGUGCAAACACGAAAGUGGACGUAUACGGUGUGACGCCUGCCCGGUGCCGGAAGGUUAAUUGAUGGGGUCAGCGCAAGCGAAGCUCCUGAUCGAAGCCCCGGUAAACGGCGGCCGUAACUAUAACGGUCCUAAGGUAGCGAAAUUCCUUGUCGGGUAAGUUCCGACCUGCACGAAUGGCGUAAUGAUGGCCAGGCUGUCUCCACCCGAGACUCAGUGAAAUUGAACUCGCUGUGAAGAUGCAGUGUACCCGCGGCAAGACGGAAAGACCCCGUGAACCUUUACUAUAGCUUGACACUGAACAUUGAGCCUUGAUGUGUAGGAUAGGUGGGAGGCUUUGAAGUGUGGACGCCAGUCUGCAUGGAGCCGACCUUGAAAUACCACCCUUUAAUGUUUGAUGUUCUAACGUGGACCCGUGAUCCGGGUUGCGGACAGUGUCUGGUGGGUAGUUUGACUGGGGCGGUCUCCUCCUAAAGAGUAACGGAGGAGCACGAAGGUUGGCUAAUCCUGGUCGGACAUCAGGAGGUUAGUGCAAUGGCAUAAGCCAGCUUGACUGCGAGCGUGACGGCGCGAGCAGGUGCGAAAGCAGGUCAUAGUGAUCCGGUGGUUCUGAAUGGAAGGGCCAUCGCUCAACGGAUAAAAGGUACUCCGGGGAUAACAGGCUGAUACCGCCCAAGAGUUCAUAUCGACGGCGGUGUUUGGCACCUCGAUGUCGGCUCAUCACAUCCUGGGGCUGAAGUAGGUCCCAAGGGUAUGGCUGUUCGCCAUUUAAAGUGGUACGCGAGCUGGGUUUAGAACGUCGUGAGACAGUUCGGUCCCUAUCUGCCGUGGGCGCUGGAGAACUGAGGGGGGCUGCUCCUAGUACGAGAGGACCGGAGUGGACGCAUCACUGGUGUUCGGGUUGUCAUGCCAAUGGCACUGCCCGGUAGCUAAAUGCGGAAGAGAUAAGUGCUGAAAGCAUCUAAGCACGAAACUUGCCCCGA